rnacentral:misc_RNA from 1 species
GCAAACUUGGUCAUUUAGAGGAAGUAAAAGUCGUAACAAGGUUUCCGUAGGUAUGUAUUGCGUCGGACCCCCAUCCCUCUUUUUCAAGGACUUAUGCUAACGUUGAAUUUUUAGGUGAACCUGCGGAAGGAUCAUUACCGAGUUAGGGUCUUCUCAGGCCCGACCUCCCAACCCUGUGUUUAUUAAACCUAUGUUGCUUCGGCGGGCCCGUCUCACGACCGCCGGGGGACCGUAAGACGUCCUCUGGCCCGCGCCCGCCGGCGGCCAAACUUAACAAAUCCUGAUUAAAUCGUGUUACUGUCUGAGUACCAUUUUUAAUUAAAGCAAAACUUUCAACAACGGAUCUCUUGGUUCUGGCAUCGAUGAAGAACGCAGC